rnacentral:rRNA from 1 species
GGCGAGUGAAGCGGUAACAGCUCAAAUUUGAAAUCUGGCCUCACGGUCCGAGUUGUAAUUUGUAGAGGAUGCUUCGAGCAUGGUCUGGCCUAAGUUCCUUGGAACAGGACGUCAUAGAGGGUGAGAAUCCCGUAUGCGGCCAGGUGCCUACGCUCAUGUGAAGCUCCUUCGACGAGUCGAGUUGUUUGGGAAUGCAGCUCAAAAUGGGUGGUAAAUUUCAUCUAAAGCUAAAUAUUGGCCAGAGACCGAUAGCGCACAAGUAGAGUGAUCGAAAGAUGAAAAGCACUUUGGAAAGAGAGUUAAACAGUACGUGAAAUUGUUGAAAGGGAAGCGCUUGCAACCAGACUUGCGCGCGGCCGAUCAUCCGGUGUUCUCACCGGUGCACUCGGCCGUGCUCAGGCCAGCAUCGGUUUUGGCGGCUGGAUAAAGGCCCUAGGAAUGUAGCUCCUCUCGGGGAGUGUUAUAGCCUAGGGUGCAAUGCAGCCUGCUGGGACCGAGGACCGCGCUUCGGCUAGGAUGCUGGCGUAAUGGUUGUAAGCGGCCCGUCUUGAAACACGGACCAAGGAGUCUAACAUCUAUGCGAGUGUUUGGGUGUCAAACCCAUACGCGUAAUGAAAGUGAACGGAGGUGAGAACCCUUAAGGGUGCAUCAUCGACCGGUCCUGAAGUUUACGGAAGGAUCUGAGUAAGAGCAUAGCUGUUGGGACCCGAAAGAUGGUGAACUAUGCCUGAAUAGGGUGAAGCCAGAGGAAACUCUGGUGGAGGCUCGCAGCGGUUCUGACGUGCAAAUCGAUCGUCAAAU